rnacentral:rRNA from 1 species
GACGAACGCUGGCGGCGUGCUUAACACAUGCAAGUCGAACUGAAAGGCCCUGCUUUUGUGGGGUGCUCGAGUGGCGAACGGGUGAGUAACACGUGAGUAACCUGCCCUUGACUUUGGGAUAACUUCAGGAAACUGGGGCUAAUACCGGAUAGGAGCUCCUGCUGCAUGGUGGGGGUUGGAAAGUUUCGGCGGUUGGGGAUGGACUCGCGGCUUAUCAGCUUGUUGGUGGGGUAGUGGCUUACCAAGGCUUUGACGGGUAGCCGGCCUGAGAGGGUGACCGGCCACAUUGGGACUGAGAUACGGCCCAGACUCCUACGGGAGGCAGCAGUGGGGAAUAUUGCACAAUGGGCGGAAGCCUGAUGCAGCAACUCCGCGUGCGGGAUGACGGCCUUCGGGUUGUAAACCGCUUUCGCCUGUGACGAAGCGUGAGUGACGGUAAUGGGUAAAGAAGCACCGGCUAACUACGUG